AACAUGGCAUAGUCAAUUAACAGCACUGAGCUGAAUCUGCCACAACUGGAAAUGCUCAAGAACCCGCUAGACCAGGAAGUGGAGUUUUAUCGACGUCUACUGCUCAGCUCAAGGUGCUACAGACCAAGUAUGUGGAAGUCAAGGACUAUCUGAAUGUGCUGAACAAGUGCAGCAAGGGAAAGGAAUUACUGUUCCCACUGACGAGUUCUAUGUAUGUCCCCAGGAAGCUACAUGAUGUGAAACAUAUGCUUAUCAAUGUGGGAACUGGCUACUACAUAGAGAAGACUGCUGAGGAUGCCAAGGAUCUUCAAAGGAAGAUAGAUUUUUUUUUUUUUACCAACAGAUGGAGAAAAUCCAGCCAGUACUGCAGGAGAAGCAUGCAGUGAAACAGACUGUCAUGGAAAUGAUGAGCCAGAAGAUUCAGCAGCUCACAGCCCUGGGGGCAAUGCAGGGGACUGCCAAGGCAUGA